rnacentral:lncRNA from 1 species
UUCUUUUAAUUGCCAGAUAGAAUCUGAAAUGUAAUGUAAUUAAUUUGAAUCAGAAGAGGAGAUGUACAGGAGUAUUUCAAGCAAUUAUUCCCACUGGGUUGUUUCCUAAUGUUUUUGGACCUAAUUUGGUAGUCAGGAAUGUAUCCUAUUCCAUCAGAGUUUAGCAGAUCAGUUCCUUGCUCUGCAUUGGUUUUUAUGUGUGUGCAUCCUACUUUCUACCCUCAGCCAGCCUGCUAUAUUUCUCUUCUUCCUUUAGGAAAUGCUUCAGCACAGCUCUGUUUCUGCUCUCAAAAUAUUCAGAAUAGAAAAGAGGGGGAGGGAGCUGGGAUUGAGCUGUUGAAGUGAAGGAGGAGUCUACAGAGAGGUAAUUUCCAUUUUUAUUUACACUUUUAUCCUGUACGAAAAAUAUCAGGAUUGUGCAGUAAAGAAACAUUUGUGUCACAGAUUUCUUUUUAUGAUGUGGAUUUCUGCCUAAGAUAAUUCUUACUGCCUGUAUUCCUUUUGCAGCAUGACUGCUCUAAAAUUUAACUUUGAAAGCAUGGUUGGCAUUAAAAUACAUA